rnacentral:tRNA from 1 species
GGCCUAUUAGCUUAGUUGGUUAGAGCAUUGUGUUAAUAAUGCGAAGGUAGCAGGUUUUUGACACCUGCAUGGGUCA